rnacentral:rRNA from 1 species
AGAGAGAGACAUGCGUGCAUAUCAAUAAGCGGAGGAAAAGAAACUAACAAGGAUUCCCCUAGUAACGGCGAGUGAAGCGGGAAGAGCUCAAAUUUGAAAUCUUAAAGGGUUUCCCUUUACGAAUUGUAGUUUAAAGAAGUGUUUUCUGUUGAGGUUUUGGUAAAAGUUCUUUGGAAUAGGACAUCAUAGAGGGUGAGAAUCCCGUAUUUGACCUUUACUUUCAACUUUGUGAUACACUUUCAAAGAGUCGGAUUGUUUGGGAAUGCAGUCCAAAAUGGGUGGUAAAUUUCAUCUAAAGCUAAAUAUUGGCGAGAGACCGAUAGCGAACAAGUACCGUGAGGGAAAGAUGAAAAGAACUUUGAAAAGAGAGUUAAACAGUACGUGAAAUUGUCAAAAGGGAAGCGUUUGACACCAGUGUUGUUUUUCUGAAAAUCAAUUAAAGAACUGUUUAUGCUAAGUUGUUUAGACUUUAUCAGCUAACUGUUUAGUUUUGAGCUUUUCUUUAAUGCACUUUUCAGUUAACAAGUCAACAUCAAUUUCUUUUGCUGUAAAAAAGCUUGAGGAAGGUGGCUUGAGAUUCGUCUUAAGUGUUUAUAGCCUCUUGCCUAUGCAGUCGGAGAGAUUGAGGUCUGCAGCGUAGAUCCUUCGGGGCUAAAUGCAUUUGUGCUAAGUUAUAGCAUUUUAUAGACAACUUGUUGACUAUGAUUUGUCUUGUAGCUUACUCGCUUAUGUUAUUUUACCUACGCUUAGGAUGUUGAGCGCAUGUCUCUCUCU